UAUAACAAUGUAGGUAAGGGAAGUUGGCAAAAAAGAUCUGUAACUUCGGCAUAAGGAUUGGCUCUAAGGGCUGGGGUGCAAAGCGGGGCUCGAGCUGAUGCUGGGGGAGCAGUCGUUCCAUCGCCCUCCUCUCGCCACCAUUGGAAGUUCAUUGUGCGGUCCAUCUCGCUGUCUCUUGUCCGUGGUCUCGCAAAGGGCUGCGUGCGGGGGUUCGUCAGUGUGGUGUCCAUCGGCGGGUCGAAAGCAGACAGGUGGGGGGGUUGGGUCUGGCGGUUGGCGGCUGCAACUCUGGACGUGCGCUGGGCACUCUCUACGGCACUCGCCGGCCCCCACACAUUGUAGGUAGGGAGGUCUCCUGUAUGCUCACUAGACUUGAGGCGCAGACUAAACCCAUUGGCCCCGCAGUGAUAGGGCAUUGCAUGGAACUGACUCAUGCCUUACGAAGUGGGGAGAGGUACAGUGAGGAAAAAAAGUAUUUGAUCCCCUGAAGAUGUUGUACGAUUACCCACAGACAAAGAAAUGAUCAGUCUAUAAUUUUUGUUCAUGGGCAAACGUACAAAAUCAGCAGGGGAUCAAAUAAUUUUUUCCCUCACUGUAUAUCCAGCUUGUCUGGGGAGGGAAGCCUACAUCUGAUGAGGGUAGUACCAUCCACGCCCAUUGAUUUGCUGCGGAACCAUAAAACAGACGGAAGAAGCCUAGGUUCCCACUGGGCAUGGAUCACUGAAUGUCAACUUGAUGAAAUUCAAAAGGAGCGUACUCACCUGUCGCGGUCACACUCAAAUCACCCGUGGGGAGACUGUGACCGCCUUCAUGUCAAAGUGAGGAAUAUUGAUGUCGAUUGGGUGUAAAAACCCAGUUAAAGUCCGCUGAAGGUUAGUAGCGGCAACUGAUGUCCAUUUUAUAAGACAGAAAAGACUGUGAUGAUACCACCGGGCGUGACUCGAAUGGAUGUCAAUUUGAUGAUAUCUGACUGUAGCAUGAUACCCUUUGCGGUCAAACUUAAACUACCUUCAGGGUGGCUGUGACCCCCUCAUGUCAAAGUGAGGAAAUUUGAUGAAGCGGGGGGUAAACGGCGGGACAUAAUUAAGUCUCUUGAGCUAGCCAAAUGCCUCAUCAUCUAAUUAGUGACGCACAUGAAUGGAUGAACGAGAUUCCCACUGUCCCUACUUACUAUCUCGCGAAACCACAGCCAAGGGAAUGGGCUUGG
rnacentral:ncRNA from 1 species